AUGCAAGACUACGUUGCGGACAAUUCAACAUAUCCGCCGCACCUCUUCCGGAGAAGGUACCGAAUGCGGCGAUCCCUCUUUGUAAAAAUAGUGCAAGCUUGCAAGGCCAAUUGUCGGUAUUUUAGUCAAAGAAGAAAUGUCGCGGGCUUGAAGGGAUUUAGUGUAUAUAAAAAAAUCUCGGCAGCUAUGCGGGUAAUUGCAUACGGCAUUCCGGCUGACUAUGCCAAUGAGUACCUUCGCAUUGGUGAAGAUACUACAAUUGAGUUAGUGAGUGGGUUUGCAUUGGAGAUUGAAGAUGCAAACACCCACUUUCAGUUUCAGGAGGAUCUCAUUGAGCACCAUUGGCAAAGUGCUGAGCCGUAA
rnacentral:rRNA from 1 species